GCCGCGGUAGCUCAGUGGUAGAUCGAGUGAGUCGGGAAGUGGAUAACGCGGGUUCGAUUCCUCCUCGGGGCG